UGGGGAAUUUUGGACAAUGGGGGCAACCCUGAUCCAGCCAUGCCGCGUGAGUGAAGAAGGCCUUCGGGUUGUAAAGCUCUUUCGGGUGAGAAGAAAAGGAUAGUGCUAAUACCACUAUCUGCUGACGGUAUCACCAUAAGAAGCACCGGCUAACUACGUGCCAGCAGCCGCGGUAAUACGUAGGGUGCGAGCGUUAAUCGGAAUUACUGGGCGUAAAGCGUGCGCAGGCGGUUCGAUAAGACAGACGUGAAAUCCCCGAGCUUAACUUGGGAACUGCGUAUGUGACUGUCGAGCUAGAGUGUAGCAGAGGGGGGUAGAAUUCCACGUGUAGCAGUGAAAUGCGUAGAUAUGUGGAGGAAUACCGAUGGCGAAGGCAGCCCCCUGGGCUAACACUGACGCUCAUGCACGAAAGCGUGGGGAGCAAACAGG
rnacentral:rRNA from 1 species